UACUAGCCCCGAUUGCAACGAUAUCCUUUUUCUGAAAUGGCCUGAAAAAGGGUUGGCGGAAAAGAUAUAGUAGAAAGCGGGAAAAAGC
rnacentral:sRNA from 1 species